rnacentral:rRNA from 1 species
GCCUUUGCUGGUCGGUCCGCCUUUUGGUGUGUACUGAUCUAGCGGAGGCUUACCUCUUGGUGAACUGCGAUGCCCUUUAUUGGGUGUUGUAGGGAACCAAGACUUUUACCUUGAAAAAAUUAGAGUGUUUAAAGCAGGCAAUCGCUUGAAUACAUUAGCAUGGAAUAAUAGAAUAGGACU